rnacentral:lncRNA from 1 species
AAAGGGUAUAUUUUGCAGCCCCACUACUCUGCUGAGUCCAUUAGUCAUUCAGAGUAUUUAUUAAUGUGACUAGAAUGAGUCCUCUCCAUCUAGUAGAAUGUAAGCUCCUUGAAGGUAGACCCUUCUUUUUUUUCUUUCAAUUUUGUCUUUAACUACUACUGCUUAGUAUGUAGUUGAGACCCAAUAAAUGCUUGUUGAAUUUAUGUAAUUCUUGAAUUCUCACACAGAUUGGUUCCUUUACCUUGUAAGAUUGUGAAGAGACCCUCAAUGGGAAUUAUAUUCUAUCAGAAGUCCCAGACACCUAAAACAGACAGCGAGCUCUUGAGGGUAAUACUGUUCAGGUUCACAUUACCAUUCAUGACUGAAUGCCCCUUUUUUCUUUUCUCUUUUUUGAUUCUCUCCCUUUUGUCCUACUUUUUUACUCUCUUCUUCACCCACUAUUUAAUUAAUUCUUAAUUUCUAUUUUGUCAUUAGCUUCUAGUGUCAUCCAGUGUUGAAGACACCACUGACCAAAGUUACUCAAAAACCAUUUUUCAUGACAUGUCUCUGAUCCCAUCCGAUGAAUCUGCUAUAUGGACCAAUUCAAGAAAUGGAGUGUGAUAUGAGCACUGGUUUAUGAGCACACCUAACAUGUCCCCUUAAAACAUUCUAAAUAUCCAAAACAUCAUUGGAAAAGGAAAUGGUGAAAUGGAUAGUUUCAGAGAAGCCUAGGAAGAUUUACAUAAAGUUAGCAGAAGCAAGGAGAACAAUCUAUUUGAAAACCAAAACCUUAUCAAGAAAGGCAACGUGGCAGAACUUAAGAACUCUGAUCAGAGGACUCGUGCUGAAGCAAGCUACCCACCUACUGAAGCAGCUGGAGAAGGAAAUGGAAAACCACUCUAAUAUCUUUGCCAACAAAACCUUGAAAGGAGCCAAGAGACCAGUACAACUGAAAACAACUCAACACUAAAAGCUGUUUGUAAUAAAGACUUGUGCUAUUUAAUAAGGGACUAUUUU